rnacentral:rRNA from 1 species
UACGGAGGGAGCUAGCGUUGUUCGGAAUUACUGGGCGUAAAGCGCACGUAGGCGGCUUUGUAAGUUAGAGGUGAAAGCCCGGAGCUCAACUCCGGAACUGCCUUUAAGACUGCAUCGCUUGAAUCCAGGAGAGGUGAGUGGAAUUCCGAGUGUAGAGGUGAAAUUCGUAGAUAUCGGGAGGAACACCAGUGGCGAAGGCGGCGAUCUGGGAAGAUACUGACGCUGAGGUGCGAAAGCGUGGGGAGCAAACAGG